GGAGGGGAGCAGGGUAGAGCUUGGACACCUGCUGAUACCAAGUGUCACUGGAGCAGGACUGUAAAGGGAGCCACUAGGGUAUCUUUGCAAAAGAGAACAAAUGGGUAAUUCAGAAGGGAAGAAUUUAUUGGAGUCAAGUUGACCUUGGCUGGGAGUGAACUCAGCGGGGCCUCACUACUUCAUGGACUAGGACUUAAGUCUCUUGGUAGUAGCCAUUCACAGAAGAGCUAAACUCACCCAACUCAGUUAUCUGACAUGCCCAUUUGAGUCAAUAUAAAGCUUUGGUCAGAAUCCUAAGAUAAUACAAAGCCAAAUUAUGGAGGGGCAAGAAGCUUAUGCCACUUGUAGCCUGCUAAUACUGGGCAGAAAUGUCUGCUACAGACCCUUACACUGCAGGUGGCAUUACUGGUUUUCUGGAACCAGACUGGAGAAAGAAUGAAAUUAGCUUGCUCAACUGAAAGCAGUGCCCAGCUUUUCUGAUGUGUGGUUGCUGACCCCACCUGAAGUAAAGGGAGCAGGGACACUCGAUGGGACCCUGAUAAGGAAUAUCAUCUCUAGGAGUGACAUUGACUUGAAUCUUAUCAAGUGUCAGUUCAGUAAGAUGUAUGGCAAAACCCUCAGCAGCAUGAUCACGGAUGACACCAGUGGUGACUACAAGAACGCCCUCCCUGAACCUGGUGGGAAGUGACCCAUGAAGUCACUGAAGAAUGAGAGCCAAGACCAAGAAGCAGGGGUCUCCAGGCCCUGCCCCCAUGACCUUGGCCAUGGGUGGGGGUUGAGGGGCCCUCAGCCAGCUUCCAGUCUUUAUCUCCUAGUGCUUUCUGGCCAACAUUUCUGACCCAGAGGAUGACACCAGCCCCAGCUCCUCCUUCCAUCUUCUCUCCCAGAUCAUCUCUAGGUCAUGCACAAAGACUUUAGCAAAGCUCUUGCUGGACAAAUAUGUCAGCCUACAGGGGCUCAUGGGUCAUUUCUUCCUCCUAGACAGAGCCUGCCUGAGCUUAACUGGUCACAGAAUUACCUGGGCAUAGGUUAUGCAGAUACCUUGGCCCAGUCCCAUCUACAGAAUCAAGGGUCCCCCAGGAGGACUAGGGAACAUAGAUCUCUAACAAGUGUCUCAGUCAUUUGCUUCCUUAUCACCCACCAGCCAGAGGGCCCUAAGAGCCCUUUUGUAGUAGAGCACAGGCCCCUGAAUUGCUGAGAAAGGGAUGCAUAUCCAUGUCAAUUGGGAUGCCACCAGUCUCCUUGAAAAAGUCAGACUCUGACAUCCUCACACUAUCCUGAUGACAGAGUAAUUGGACUACAGAGCAAUGUCCUGACCCAAGGGCUCUAUGUCCUAGAAGCUCAGGCUUCCUGGUUGUUCAGCAGUUCUGCUCUGUCCUCUGUGACACAGCAUGCAGCACAGGGGAUGACAACCCUGAGCAUGACUCAUCCCGACCCAAGGCCACCAAGCCUGGAGACCUGCAGAGGCCUCAUUUUCAUCUUCCUAGAUAUUUUCUGGGCUUUCAGAAUAAUAAACAUCUGCAUAUUCAGAAAGGGUCUUUGGAUUUGUACCAGUGACCAGAGCAAGGCCAGUUUCAUUGGCCAGAAGCAGAGUUUCAGAGCUACCCAACCUGAGCACACUUGUGGGCAUCCUCUGAGGGACCGCUGGGUGGUCACUGGUACCACUGGUGGGUACCACUGGUGGGUACCAGUGGUGGAUGCUCACUGUUGCCCCAGGCAUGACACUUGUAGAUGAGGAUAGUUUCUUUUAACAUCUAUUUUGUACUCUAAAUUCUGACAUCUCUGGGUUGGAAGGGGCUUUUAAAUGUCACCUGGUUUCUUCCUACUGCACCUUGACUGCCCUCCAAGGCACAUGCUCCACAUCAUCCUUGGUGCACGUGGUCUGUACUUGUUGUACAUGGGGUGUACUUGGCUGCUUCCAGUGACAGGAACUCACAGCUUCCUUGGGUGGCCCAGUCUUUUCCCAAAAAGUGAUUCACAGUGUUCACCCUUAACUGAGCCAAAAUCUACCCUCUUGUGUCCACUGCAGUCUGUCAUCUAGGGCUACAACAUUUGUCCUUUCCCAAUAGCAACGUUUGGUAUCAUAAGCAGCCCACCUAUUCCACUAAAAUUUCUGCCAAAGUUAGAGGUCCCCAGUCCUUCCAACUGCCCCUCCUGGAACCUCAUCAGGGGCCAUGGGCUCUGCCUCUGAACAUGAUCCCGUUCAUAAACUCCAGGGUGUGGCCCCAGGAGUAAAGGGCACACCCUGGAAUUCAAGAUCAGGGGGAUGACACAGGGUGGGCUCUGAGCUCACACAGAUGGGAGGUGGAUCCUGGCUCUGCCCUGUGCUGGCUCCAUGACGCUGAGCUAACAUUCUCUCUCCCUCUCUCUCUCUCUCUCUCUCCCUCCCUCCCUCCCUCCCUCC
ensembl:lncRNA